UCUCGAAUGUCAAAACUGCACCUCUUCGGCAACGGAUAUUUCGGCCUUUCGCAUCGAAUGAAGAACGUAGCGAAAUGCGAUACUUGGUGUGAAUUGCAGAAUCCCGUGAACCAUCGAGUCUUUGAACGCAAGUUGCGCCUGAAGCCAUUUGGCCGAGGGCACG
rnacentral:rRNA from 1 species